GUUUUGGACACUGAGACGGAGCUGGCAGCCGCUGCAGACCAAAGUCAGGAAAGGGCAGGCCGGGUGAACAGACGGAUUUGCCAACUAGACGGCCAACCAGCAACAACAAACUAAGUUCGCAUACUACCGCUUACGCAUCUAACCAACUGCCCAUCUACCUAACCCGAGCCCCUCCACCGUCAAUUCAGGUUCGGCCGGUCCCUGGCCCGCCUGUCGGAGCCGUGGUGGCAGCGUCGGGAGGAACCCUGGCGUCUGUUCCCUUUGAUUCUCGGGAUUCGAAGAUGGCUGCACAGUCAGCGCCGAAAGUUGUGCUAAAAAGCACCACCAAGAUGUCUCUAAAUGAGCGCUUUACUAGUAUGCUGAAGAACAAACAGCCGACGCCAGUGAAUAUUCGGGCUUCGAUGCAGCAACAGCAGCAGCUAGCCAGUGCCAGAAACAGAAGACUGGCCCAGCAGAUGGAGAAUAGACCCUCUGUCCAGGCGGCAUUAAAACUUAAGCAGAAGAGCUUAAAGCAGCACCUGGGUAAGAGUAACACCCAAGCACGGUUAGGCUGACCCAUAGGGGCCCUGGCCAGGGGAGCAAUCGGGGGACGAGGCCUACCCACAAUCCAGAGAGGCUUGCCCAGAGGAGGACUACGUGGGGACGUGCCACCAGAACCCUGCUUUGGGGCGUAAUGCCGCCCCGAGGUCAAAACCUGCUCCGAGGUGGAGGAGACGUAGCUCCCCGAAUGGGCUUCAGAAGAGGUGGUGUUCGAGGUCGUGGAGGUCCUGGGAGAGGGGGCCUAGGACGUGGAGCUAUGGGGGGCCUGGGGGGCUAGGUUGUGGCGGAAUCGGUGGUAGAGGUCGGGGUAUGAUAGGUCAGGGAAGAGGGGGCUUUGGAGGCCGAGGCCGAGGGAGUGGACGAGGGAGAGGUGCCCUCGCUCGCCCUGUAUUGACCAAGUAGCAGCUGAACAACCAAUUGGAUGCAUACACGUUGAAAACGGAAGGACACCUGGAUGCUGAGUUGGAUGCCUACAUGGCGCAGACAGAUCCCGAAACCAAUGAUUGAAGCCUGCCCACCCUCCCGUGAGAGACUCUUGUUAGUCGACACAUCUGUAAAUAACCUUGAGAUAACAGAUGAGAAGAAAUCUGAUUGAUGCUGGAUGGACCUAUCACAACAGGCUAUGGACUUACUUGCCACCAGCUUGUGCAUUUAGUGUGUUCCUUUUACUUUUUGAUACUGUAUUGUAUGAAGCCCUUUUGUCCUUUGA